rnacentral:rRNA from 1 species
UACGGGGGGGGCAAGCGUUGUUCGGAAUUACUGGGCGUAAAGGGCUCGUAGGCGGCCAACUAAGUCAUACGUGAAAUCCCUCGGCUUAACCGGGGAACUGCGUCUGAUACUGGAUGGCUUGAGUUCGGGAGAGGGAUGCGGAAUUCCAGGUGUAGCGGUGAAAUGCGUAGAUAUCUGGAGGAACACCGGUGGCGAAGGCGGCAUCCUGGACCGAUACUGACGCUGAGGAGCGAAAGCCAGGGGAGCAAAACGGGGA